rnacentral:rRNA from 1 species
UACGUAGGGGGGCUAGCGUUGUCCGGAAUCAUUGGGCGUAAAGAGCGUGUAGGCGGCCCGGUAAGUCCGCUGUGAAAGUCGGGGGCUCAACCCUCGAAUGCCGGUGGAUACUGUCGGGCUAGAGUGCGGAAGAGGCGAGUGGAAUUCCUGGUGUAGCGGUGAAAUGCGCAGAUAUCAGGAGGAACACCGAUUGCGAAGGCAGCUCGCUGGGACGUUACUGACGCUGAGGCGACGAAAGCGUGGGGAGCAAACAGG